rnacentral:lncRNA from 1 species
UUCUCAUCUUUAUUUGUUGCAUUUUUGUCACGUCUAAAUUCACUGUCGAGUAGAGUACCACGACAAAUGCUGGUGCCACUAGUCUGAAUAGAUUGUAAGUAAACGCCUCCUGUGACAAAGAAAGCAUUGAGAAGAUGGAUCUUUGUGAUAUGUCACAUAUGAGAUCUUAUGGCGGAGCUCAGCUGCUGGAUUAUUCCCAUGCGCUGGGAUCAUGCAGCAGCUUACUUCGAAAAGCCGAUCGCUUCCCACGAUCAACACCAAGACGCCUGCAGAGGCUGCCCUUGCUAGACAUUGCUACACCAAAUGCUUCUC